rnacentral:rRNA from 1 species
GACGAACGCUGGCGGCGUGCUUAACACAUGCAAGUCGAACGGAAAGGCCCCCAUCUUGGUGGGGGUGCUCGAGUGGCGAACGGGUGAGUAACACGUGGGUGAUCUGCCCUGUACUUCGGGAUAAGCUUGGGAAACUGGGUCUAAUACCGGAUAGGACCAUGGUUUAGUGUCUCAUGGUGGAAAGAUUAUUGUUUUGGUGCAGGAUGAGCUCGCGGCCUAUCAGCUUGUUGGUGGGGUAAUGGCCUACCAAGGCGUCGACGGGUAGCCGGCCUGAGAGGGUGGACGGCCACAUUGGGACUGAGAUACGGCCCAGACUCCUACGGGAGGCAGCAGUGGGGAAUAGUGCAAAAUGGGCGCAAGCCUGAUGCAGCGACGCCGCGUGGGGGAUGACGGCCUUCGGGUUGUAAACUCCUUUCGUUAGGGACGAAGCCGCACUUUUUUUGGGUGUGGUGACGGUACCUUUGUUAAGAAGCACCGGCUAACUACGUG